rnacentral:rRNA from 1 species
CCCGUAACGAGCGCAACCCUUGUCCUUAGUUACCAGCACGUUAUGGGUGGGCACUCUAAGGAGACUGCCGGUGACAAACCGGAGGAAGGGUGGGGAUGACGUCAAGUCAUCAUGGCCCUUACGGCCGUGGGCUACACACGUGCUACAAUGGUCGGUAACGAAAGGGUUGCCAAGCCGCGAGGUGGAGCUAAUCCCAAUAAAACCGAUCGUAGUCCGGAUCGCAGUCUGCAACUCGACUGCGUGAAGUCGGAAUCGCUAGUAAUCGUGAAUCAGAAUGUCACGGUGAAUACGUUCCCGGGCCUU